rnacentral:rRNA from 1 species
GAUGAACGCUGGCGGCGUGCUUAACACAUGCAAGUCGAACGGAAAGGCCCAAGCUUGCUUGGGUACUCGAGUGGCGAACGGGUGAGUAACACGUGGGUGAUCUGCCCUGCACUUCGUGAUAAGCCUUGGAAACUGGGUCUAAUACCGGGUAGGACCACUUCUUGGGCGUUGUGGUGGAAAGUUUUUCGGUUGUGGUAUGAGGUCGCGGCCUAUCCGCUUAUUGUUGGGGUAAUGGUCUACCAAGGCGUCGACGGGAAGCCGGACUGAGAGAGUGUUCGACGGCAUUGAGUCUGAGAGACGGCACAGACACGUACGGGAGGGAGCAGGGGGGAAUAUUGAAGAAGGGGCGCAGGCCGGGUGCAGAGAGGCCGCGUGGGGGAUGACGGCCUUCGGGUUGUAGAAUACUUUCGCUAGGAACGAAGCGUUUUGUGACGGUACCUGGAGAGGAAGCACCGGCUAACUACGUG